UUAGCAACCGUUCGACCGCGGGCCGGCGGGGUCCCGGGGUGGAGCGCCCGGAGGUGGUCUCCGGCAAAUUCUGCGCCUUUUCCCCACCGGCCGGACGGCUGCCCCUCCUGAGCAGGGGGCCCCAGGGUGUGGCUGCCCUCCGGCACCUGGCUCCGGGUAAGUCACGUCACCAUACGUCACUGUAUGGCGUCACCGCUCGCGUCACUGCAGAUGGGCAGGUCCGGGGCGCCAGUGGUGGAGAGCGCAGUCCUCGCCCAGGCUGGCGCGGACCGGAGCGGCGAGUCCCGCCGGGUGCCCGAGGUUGUUCAGGGAGUGGGACCGGAGAGGGUGGAAUGACACUCGUUAACUUAGCACGGGUGUGAUGAGCCGGGCCUUAGUAAUACCCGGCCUGCCCAUGACGAGAUCAUGUAUGCAAGGGUGCUUUGUAAGUGUCAACCCCACUGCACUUCAAACCUCGUUCUCGAGAGAGAAGGCAGCUGAGCAAGAACCGUGAAGACCACGGACUUUGGAGCCCUGGAAAUCUGGGUCCAGAAAAAAGAAAGGAAGGAAGGAAGAAAGAAAGUGAAAACAGACAGGAAGAACGGAACUUGGAGCAGGGAAACCCAUUUUGAGGCCACUGCGGUGCUCCUGAUGAGAAGUGAUCCAAGAGGAAACAAAUGUCACACACUCUGGUAUGCUUAUCUAAUUCUCAUAUCAUCUAAUUUCACAAACAUUACCUUACUUUGUUAGCCACUGACCUUAUCAUUUCACUUUUAGCAGAUGGGAUGCAAAGUUUAGCUCAUUUAAGCAAGGUCAUAAAGCAGCUAGCUAGUAAACUAAAAUUUAGACCCAGCACAUGUGUCCUCUUUCCAGGAAGCCUUUCCUCAAGUUCUUGGUGUAAGUUCCCUUUCUCUGGACUAAUAGCAUAAUGUACAAAAUGUUUAUUUUAGCAUUUACUAUAAGUAUGCUUACUGUAUGUCAGGAACAUAGUACCUGUUCUCAUGUUACUUGUGUUUAAAACACAGUGAGUUGUGGUCAUUAGCUCAUAUAAGCCUUAUAAUAGCCUUGGAUGUAGAUAUUAUUAACCACAAUAUUUUACAUAUCAGGAUGCUGAAGCACAGAAAAAUUAAACGAUUGCUCACACAGUUAAUAAGUGGUAGAACCAGAGUUCAAAUCCAGAUAGCUGGAUGUUGGAGUCCAUGCUCUUAACCUCUGACUGCUCCUUUCAGACCAUGCACACUCCAGGUACACGGAGGGACUCCACAGGACUUGCAGAAGUCACAGUGCUUGUGCUGUACGGUUGUUACAUGUGGUACCACUCUGUGCUCCUUAUAUGAACACAAGAGAGUUCUGUCUCUCAGCCAGAGUCAUGAAACCUUUGGCUACCCUUGAGUAACUGAUGUGUUUUCUCUUUAUAGGCCAUGUGAAUUAUAUAACCGACUGUUCCCUUUUCACUUUGACUGCCAAGGAGCUCUUGAAUAAAUUCGUUGGCUCAGCCGUGUAACUGGGAGGCUUAGCCUGCAUAUCUGCAUUCUGUUGCUUUAAAAUUGUGCAAAAUAAGUGAUUGGAAAAAAAUAAUCUAUUUUUUUCUUUAUUUUCUAAGUUGUUAAUAAUGUACAUUUUAU